UACGUAGGGGGCAAGCGUUGUCCGGAUUUAUUGGGCGUAAAGAGCGUGUAGGCGGUUAGGUAGGUCCGUUGUGAAAACUCGAGGCUCAACCUCGAGACGCCGAUGGAAACCAUCUGGCUAGAGUCCGGAAGAGGAGAGUGGAAUUCCCGGUGUAGCGGUGAAAUGCGCAGAUAUCGGGAGGAACACCGGUGGCGAAGGCGGGUCUCUGGGCAGUAACUGACGCUGAGGAGCGAAAGCGUGGGGAGCAAACAGG
rnacentral:rRNA from 1 species